rnacentral:rRNA from 1 species
UACGGGGGGAGCAAGCGUUGUUCGAAUUUACUGGGCGUAAAGGGCGCGUAGGCGGCACCGCAAGUCGACUGUGAAAUCUCCGGGCUUAACCCGGAAAGGUCAGCCGAUACUGCGGGGCUAGAGUGCAGAAGGGGCAACUGGAAUUCUCGGUGUAGCGGUGAAAUGCGUAGAUAUCGAGAGGAACACCUGCGGCGAAGGCGGGUUGCUGGGCUGACACUGACGCUGAUGCGCGAAAGCUAGGGGAGCGAACGGG